AGGGCGGGGUGGAAGAAGGCCUCUCUGAAGGGACGGCAACUAUGAGCUGAGGCCAGAUUUGAUAGCAGGAGCCAGACAGAGGCCUCUGGAGCAAUGCAGUCUGAGUAGAGGGGAUCGUUAGUACCCUUACCUUGAGUUGGGAAAGGCAUGGCUCAUUCAGCAGCCAAAGGGAGGCUGGAGAUACAGACUUGUAAAAGAGGUAAGUGGUAGGCCAUAGAUGACAUGGCCAAGAAGAGUUAGCAUCCAGUGACGGUCCUAGGCAGGGCAUGACACAGGCCAGCUCCUGUUCUGUAAGAUGACUGGCACUGUGAGUAGAAUGGGCUAAAGGGGCAAGUGUAGGAGCAGGGAGCCGGGAGCCGGGUGAGGUGACUGGUGACUGGACAAGACCAGAUCAGUGUCAAUGGGGAAGCAAAACCACACCGGGAACACCUAACAGAGAUAGGAUUCCUGGGACCCACUCAGAACCCGAGUAGAGACUACAGACCAGUUCUGCUUCUAGGCCUUCUGUGUGUUCUCACAUGGAGUCAUUCAAAAAGCAUUGGCCCUCCUUUUCCUCUCAGAGUCUAGGCUUGGCCCUGUGAUCCCAAGUUUCAUGUCUGUCUUUGAGCCAAGUAGAUUCUCAGGCAGUAAACUUGGUGAAAAUGUCUUAUUUUAUCUUCUUACCAUAUCAACAGAAACAUUCCUGCUUCCAACUGAAAACAUUGGCAUAUUCUAAGCUCAAAGCCAGAGCCCAAAUGCUUUGACAUGCUGUGCGGAAUGCUGUGUGAGCAGAAACAGCAAGAAGCAUUUCUUUGGGACACUCUUGGCUGACCCUGGGUUAGGGAAGAUAAGGGAUAUAACAAGCCCCUCACCAAGGGCUGGAGAGUAAUGAAGCCCACACUAUACUACCUGUCCCCCAAUCCAAACUAGAAGACCUUGGUCCAGGGCUAUAAAGGCAAGGCCCAGAAGAUGCAGGAGGAUGACUGGUAGCAACGUGGAGUGAAGUGAUCCAACCCUGCCUCCUGGCACCUUCCAUGGACAGAGGUGGCUUGGGCCAGGCAUGCUUGUUCCCACUCAUGUUCACAUGCACCCGUGUCCUAACAAGCCAAACCAGGGGACACCAACAGAAGGCAUGCACACAGGACACACAGGCAGUGGAGUCUGGGGUGAAUCUCAGCAAGAAAAAGGUCGUCCACUUUUGCUCCUCAUCUCCAGCAGUGUAACUCAGCUUCUCACUUAUUUACUGAGCACCUGUUUGAGGAGUCAGUGUGCAGUCAAGCUUAAGAGUAGUGAUUGCAAACUCAGAUGCUCUUGAUUCAAACUGCAGGCCUAGCCACAGUCUUGGGAAUGCCACUUAACUCCACAUGUUGGUGACCUCUUCUAUAAAACAGGGCUCAUGAAAAUCUGCCUUGUUGAGAGAACAAAGUGUUGGACCUCCCUGCAUGGUGACUGGUCCAUGAACAUCAACCAUUGUUAUGACAGAAUCUCACUGCGUAGCUCUAAGUAGCCUCAAGUUCAGGAUCUUCUUGCUCCUGCCUCCGGACUGCUAACUCAGUAUGGCCAGUAAAGAAACUGAAGACUAGAAAGUGAGAAGCCCAGACACUGAAACCAAAUAAGAUGGUUGUGUCUCCCGCACAGCAAAGUGGCCACCAGGGAGCAGAAGAGCCUUCUGGGCCCACUUCAGCACAAGUCAUGACCUCUCCAGGCCCAUCUCAUCUACGCGAUCGCUCCUUUUAUCCCAAAUUCCUCCAAAAAAAAUCUCUCAGAGAAAUUUUAGAAUUCUACACUUCUCAGCAAAGUUAUAAAAAAAUAUAAAGUGCUCCCUUGUGCUCCCUUCAGCAGAACCUGCCAGCAUGUCAGUGUUUCUGCUCAUGUGCUCACAUUCUCCCCUGUAGAUACCUGUGCACGCACAUGAACACACACAUACACAUGUGGAUGGUCAUGUUCUAAACCAUUCGAGAGUGUACCACAGACAUGAUGUUCCUUUGUUCCUGAAUUUUUGGUCUGUAUUUUCCUAAAUCAGGAUGUACUUGACAUCUGUAGUGUCCUUGUCAAAGCCAGCAAAAGGUCCUUGUCUUUUGAGAUGGGGUCUGUUAUAACCAAGACUGGCCUAGAACUGACCCUCCUGCUCUAUCUCCUAAGCCCUGGAGCUGGGGCCAGCACGCCUGGCUGAGAUCAGCGGCUGGACAGGGACAGGACUUGGGCACUCUGUCCCGGGGAUGUCCUUUAAGGAUAAAAGUGCAGGAUUCGAGGUCACUGCUUUCUUUAUUCUG
ensembl:lncRNA